rnacentral:rRNA from 1 species
AUUGAACGCUGGCGGCAUGCCUUACACAUGCAAGUCGAACGGCAGCACGGGUGCUUGCACCUGGUGGCGAGUGGCGAACGGGUGAGUAAUAUAUCGGAACGUACCUUAUUGUGGGGGAUAACGCAGCGAAAGCUGUGCUAAUACCGCAUAAUCCCUUAGGGGGAAAGCGGGGGACCGUAAGGCCUCGCGCAAUUAGAGCGGCCGAUACCUGAUUAGCUAGUUGGUGAGGUAAAGGCUCACCAAGGCGACGAUCAGUGGCUGGUCUGAGAGGACGAGCAGGCACACUGGAACUGCGACACGGCCCGGACUCCUACGGGAGGCAGCAGUGGGGAAUUUUGGACAAUGGGGGCAACCCUGAUCCAGCAAUGCCGCGUGAGUGAAGAAGGCCUUCGGGUUGUAAAGCUCUUUUGUCAGGGAAGAAACAGCAGCUCUAACACAGUAUGCGAAUGACGGUACCUGAAGAAUAAGCACCGGCUAACUACGUGCCAGCAGCCGCGGUAA